rnacentral:rRNA from 1 species
CCUACGGGGAGCUGCAGUGGGGAAUAUUGGGCAAUGGGCGCAAGCCUGACCCAGCAACGCCGCGUGAAGGAAGAAGGCUUUCGGGUUGUAAACUUCUUUUAAGGGGGAAGAGCAGAAGACGGUACCCCUUGAAUAAGCCACGGCUAACUACGUGCCAGCAGCCGCGGUAAUACGUAGGUGGCAAGCGUUGUCCGGAUUUACUGGGUGUAAAGGGCGUGUAGCCGGAGAGACAAGUCAGAUGUGAAAUCCACGGGCUCAACCCGUGAACUGCAUUUGAAACUGUUUCCCUUGAGUGUCGGAGAGGUAAGCGGAAUGCCUGGUGUAGCGGUGAAAUGCGUAGAUAUAAGGAAGAACACCAGUGGCGAAGGCGGAUUACUGGACGAUAACUGACGGUGAGGCGCGAAAGCGUGGGGAGCAAACAGGAUUAGAUACCCCAGUAGUC